rnacentral:rRNA from 1 species
AGCGAACGCUGGCGGCGUGCCUAACACAUGCAAGUCGAACGUGAAAAGGGAAACCUGAGUAAAGUGGCGUACGGGUGAGUAACGCGUAGGUAAUCUACCCCAGAAUCUGGAAUAACCUGCCGAAAGGCGGGCUAAUACUGGAUAGAGCGAGGGAACUCGUAAGAGAGUUUUUCGGGAAAGGGAGCCCGCAAGGGCCUUCGUUCUGGGAUGAGCCUGCGUCUCAUUAGCUAGUUGGUAAGGUAACGGCUUACCAAGGCGAUGAUGAGUAGCUGGUCUGAGAGGGUGGUCAGCCACACUGGAACUGAAACACGGUCCAGCCUCCUACGGGGAGCAGCAGUGGGGAAUUUUGCGCAAGGGAGGAAAGUCUGACGCAGCCCCGCCGCGUGAGUGAAGAAGGCCUUCGGGUUGUAAAGCCUUGUCGGAUGGGACGAACAUUUUCAAGGUGAAUGGCUAUGAGGACUGCCGGUACCAUCAAAGGAAGCCCCGGCUACUCCCGG